CACCGUUUUGGUCCUAAACUUACUGUUGUUUUUCGCGAUCACUACACAUGCAAGCAUCCGCACCCCCGUGCCAAAACCCACCACCUUAACCCCUAAGCCUGGAGCCGGUAUCAGGCACGCUUUUAAGCAGCCAACAACACCCAGCCAUGCCACCCCCCCACGGACCCCAGCAGUGACAGACAUUAAGCCAUGAGUGCCCACCUUAUAAAGCUCGACUUAGCCACCGCUCUAAUAGGGCCGGUUAAUUCCGUGCCAGCCACCGCGGUUAUACGGAAGGCCACAAACAACAACCCCACGGCGUAAACUGUGACUAGAACAGCACUUUGGCCCGGGGACAGCAAUUUAAGUAUAGUUGUAAAAUACACAUACAUAUAAGAACCCCCUCCCUAAACCAAAGCCCCUUUGACCUCACGAAAGCUAAGACAUAAACUAGGAUUAGAUACCCUACUAUACUUAGCCGUAAACCUAGGUGGGCCCUACACCUCGCCCGCCCGCCAGAGAACUACGAGUGAAAAACUUGAAACUCUAAGGACUUGACGGUGCCCCACACCUCCUAGAGGAGCCUGUCCUACAAUCGAUGCUCCACGUUAAACCUCCCCCCCCCUCGUUAAAACAGCCUAUAUACCGCCGUCGUCAGCCUGCCUAAUGAUAGCACCACAGCAAGCAAAAUAGUCUCACCACUAAUACGUCAGGUCAAGGUGUAGCUCAUGGGGGGGUAAGAGAUGGGCUACAUUGUCUAACUACUAGACAACUUACCGUAGGCCAUGUGAAACCCCGGCCGACCGGAGGAUUUAGCAGUAAAUGCCGGCAAGAAUGCCCAAUUGAAGGCGGCCCUGGGGCGCGCACACACCGCCCGUCACCCUCCUCAAAACCCACCACUAAAUAACUAAACCACACUUUAAUCACAAGACGAGGCAAGUCGUAACAUGGUAAGCCCACCGGAAGGCGGGCUUGGCCC
rnacentral:ncRNA from 1 species